AUGAAAUUUGAGGAUGUUGUCCUAGAUGAUCCCGACAUUGCGAAGGUGCUGAUUGAACAUAUUUCAAGCUGCGGGAUCAGAAGAUUAAUCAAGAAUGUUGGCGAAGUCCCGGGGCCCUGCAAUGAAGGGCGCGCCUGAGUUCUGUGACAUUUAUGUCAAAUGGAAGGGUGCAAUAUCGUCCAUGGGCUGCGCCUCACGUCCUCUUCCAUCCAUGACUGCAACAUUGACUCAGACAAGUUCCUUAUCAAGUGCAAUGGAGUCGGAUGCCAUGCUGCCGCUGACUAAAUCAAGAACCAUGCGUGGAAGAUUCCAGUGGGAUGACACUAUUCUCGGAUGUUGUGGAAAUGGAAAUGCUGAGACUGAAGUCAGAACUGAAUCAAACAAAGGAAAUGUACCGUGAAGUUUGUCGAGAAGCACUUGCUGCAACACAAAAGGCAGAAGAACUCAAACAAUGGAAAGCGGAAGAGGAGCAGAGGUUAAUGGAGUUCUGAGUAGCCACAGCAGCUGCUCUAUUGCUCACAUGGAAGGAGAGGGCUGAGUUGACAGCAGCAAUGGAAGCCGCCCAAGACGCUGAUGGGAUUGCGGCAUAAUAGUUGCAGUUUAUGCAAGCCCUCGAGGGCGAGGAAAUUAAAUACGAAUAACUAGUCGAGAUGAGUGAUGCUUUCAAGCUUAAUAUGAUGGUUCAACCUGUAUGGCUCCUUCAAGACACGAUAGAAAAUAUUUUGA